GUUGAAAGUAAGAAACAGUUCUUGAGUUGGUCUCGUCUUCAAUUUCCCGACGAUACUUCUUUUUUUUUUUUUGGUUCUAGAAAUGAGAUUAUUGUACUCAUUGUGAUGCGGAGAAGCUCAAGAGUUGGGGCAAAAAUGAUGGGUCUCCCUUUUGGAAGUAAUCCCAAAUCCAUCUCCUUUUAGAAUCUGGUGGUGGGCAAAGUUAGGAAAAGAUUAGCCUCUUGAAAGAAAAGUUUCUAAAGCUGGUAGACUAACUUUGAUUUGCUUUGUAUUGAGUGGUAUCCUGUUUAUUAUUUCUAAGGGAUGGAAUGAGGAAACUUGUUGAAAUUGGUUUGGUGGGAGGUAUUGAGAGGCUGGUUUAUUAGCCAAAUGGCUUUGGCAUUUCACCCUUGAACCCAACUCUCUCUGUCACAGGGUUAUUGAAAGCAAGUUUGGUCUUCAUCCUUUUGAGUGGCUAUUGGGUAGGGUUAAAGGCAAUUACCAUAAUUUGUGGAUGAUAUCUAUUUUGAGCUCCCUUCUUUCUCUCACUUGGUUCAUUGUGUGACGGUCAGGAGUAGGAAACGUAUUGUUGAGAAGAUCAGUAGGCGGGAGAUAGAUCCCUUUGCUUUGCAUUUCCUUGUCUCUAUCAUUUGUCUUCUUUAAAAAUCAUGUGAUGUCUGAUUUUUUGGUCUGGUUGGGAAGAUCAGUUUGCUUUUUGUUUGGGUUUUGUUGCUCUUUGACUGAUAAUGACACAAUAAAUGAUGUCUCUCUGCCUUGCUUGUGGAGGUCAUUUUUAGGCUUGGGAGAAGGGAUAUUUGAGUGUAGAGUCCCAACUCUUUGGAGGAUUUUUAGGAUUGAGUGCCCUUCAUAAUAAAUUAUUUUUAAUUGAGCUUUCUUGGGUAACUCGUUGGUUUGGUGGCAAUGUUUCCUCCCUCCUGGUGAGGAGUUCAAUCCCCAUUUUCCCCUGCCCCUGUUUAUGGUGUAAUGCAAUAUUUCCAAAACGACUAAACGUUUGUAAUCACUAUGUAAUUUUGAUUAACCUUGAUCGGAGGUGUUACUUGGUGGUGGUCAUCUCUACCCCAACCAUUAGUUUCUGACUCGUUUGGGUUGUCCUUGACAUUGUUAUGCUUCUUAUAAAAAAAAUUUAGAAGGAUUCAGAGAAUGUUCA